UACAGAGGGUGCGAGCGUUAAUCGGAGUUACUGGGCGUAAAGGGCGCGUAGGCGGUUAAAUAAAUUGGAUGUGAAAUCCCCGGGCUCAACCUGGGAAUGGCAUCCAAGACUGUUUGACUGGAGUAUUGUAGAGGGUAGUGGAAUUUCCGGUGUAGCGGUGAAAUGCGUAGAGAUCGGAAGGAACAUCAGUGGCGAAGGCGGCUACCUGGACAAAUACUGACGCUGAGGCGCGAAAGCGUGGGGAGCAAACAGG
rnacentral:rRNA from 1 species